rnacentral:rRNA from 1 species
GUUGUAUGGUUAAGUGACUAAGCGUACACGGUGGAUGCCUUGGCAGUCUCAGGCGAUGAAAGACGUAGUAACUUGCGAUAAGCCCAGAUUAGGUAGUAACAACCAUUUGAGUCUGGGAUUUCUGAAUGGGGAAACCCACUAGCAUAAGCUAGUAUCGUUAUGUGAAUACAUAGCAUAACGAGGCGAACCGGGGGAACUGAAACAUCUAAGUACCCCGAGGAAAAGAAAUCAACCGAGAUUCCGAAAGUAGCGGCGAGCGAAAUUGGACUAGCCCUUAAGCUUUACACGCGUUAGACGAACGGUCUGGAAAGUCCGACGAUACAGGGUGAUAGUCCCGUAGUUGACGACGUGUGUUCAGUGAAAUCGAGUAGGGCGGGACACGUGAUAUCCUGUCUGAAUAUGGGGGGACCAUCCUCCAAGGCUAAAUACUACUGACUGACCGAUAGUGAACCAGUACCGUGAGGGAAAGGCGAAAAGAACCCCUGUGAGGGGAGUGAAAUAGAACCUGAAACC